AUUGAACGCUGGCGGCAGGCCUAACACAUGCAAGUCGAGCGAGCGGCGGACGGGUGAGUAAUGUCUGGGAAACUGCCUGAUGGAGGGGGAUAACUACUGGAAACGGUAGCUAAAACAGCAUACCAUCAGAUGUGCCCAGAUGGGAUUAGCUAGUAGGUGGGGUAACGGCUCACCUAGGCGAAGAUCCAUAGCUGGUCUGAGCGGAUGACCAGCCACACUGGAACUGUGACACGGUCCAGACUCCUGCGGGAGGCAGCAGUGGGGAAUAUUGCACAGUGGGCGCCAGCCUGAUGCAGCCAUGCCGCGUGUGUGAAGAAGGCCUUCGGGUUGUAAAGCACUUUCAGCGGGGAGGCGUUACCCGCAGAAGAAGCACCGGCUAACUCCGUGCCAGCAGCCGCGGUAAUUC
rnacentral:rRNA from 1 species